CAAAAGUGCAAAGCAAUCCAGUAAAGAAUAGUCUUGGCCAAAAAAAGUACAAAGAAUCGACAAUCAGAAUUAUGAGAAAUCUCAAAAGAAUGGAAAAGGCAAGCAAGGAAAUCAGGAAAGGUAAAU